rnacentral:rRNA from 1 species
UGGGGGAUAUUGCACAAUGGGCGAAAGCCUGAUGCAGCGACGCCGCGUGGGGGAUGAAGGCUUUCGGGUUGUAAACCUCUUUCGCUAUCGAACAAGGCCCGCUUAGGGUGGGUUGAGGGUAGGUGGAGAAGAAGCGCCGGCUAACUACGUGCCAGCAGCCGCGGUAAUACGUAGGGCGCGAGCGUUGUCCGGAAUUAUUGGGCGUAAAGGGCCUGUAGGCGGCUUGUUGCGCCUGCUGUGAAAACGCGGGGCUUAACUUCGCGCGUGCAGUGGGUACGGGCAGGCUUGAGUGUGGUAGGGGUGACUGGAAUUCCAGGUGUAGCGGUGGAAUGCGCAGAUAUCUGGAGGAACACCGAUGGCGAAGGCAGGUCACUGGGCCAUUACUGACGCUGAGGGGCGAAAGCAUGGGUAGCGAACAGG